GUCCCUGUAGCACAAUAAGUAGCACGUUGGACUUCUAAUCCAAAAGUCGUGGGUUCGAGUCCCACCAGGGAUG